CCCUCUCAAGGCGGUGGCGGGAGGAGGAGCAGCGGCGGGCGGCGGCAGCGCACCCCGCGUGUGUCUGUGUGAGAGUUUGUACGGGCGUGUGCGCAGCCGAGAGUGAGCGAGCGAGCGCCCCCUCCCCGCCCCGCGCCGCUGCGCCCCUCGCCUCGCGCCCCCAGCGCUCCGAGCUCUCCGCGCGCCUCCCCGGGCUUCUGCCCCGCUCUCAGCGGACGGAAGCUAGUCGCGGUCCGGGGCUGUGACUCCCGGGCGCCAGAACCCCGGGCCGGCGAGGCGCAGAGAGGCCGGGCGAGCGGCGGAGCGGAGAAGGUGCGCCCCGGGCGCGGGUGCUAGUGCGCGAGGGGGCGCGGGGGAGCGGCUGGGAGCCGCAGGCGUGGGAGGGAGAGGGGCUGUGGGAGAGCGUGGAAAGGGGUGUGCGCAAGGUGGACCGGAUGUGAGCGCGCGGCUGCCAGGCGAGCGGGAAGGUGUGUCUCGGAGGGCUACACUACUAAAAGUACUAAAGGAACUUCUUCAAGCUGAAGGGAAAUGCUACUGAGAUGGAAACUCAUCUUUAGGAAGGAAUGAAGAGCAUUAGAAAUGCCUUGUCUGAACUUCGGCUCAACAUCCUCAAAUAUUAAUCUCACUUGCCUGUAUAUGGGUCCUGAUCGCUCCGUCUGUUCCUGUGCCACCUGGUGGGGAUUCCAUCUUUACCACCCAUCUGAGAAACCAAAAACACCCAAAAGAUACUGUGUAUUCGCCAAUAUUGACACAAGACCCACCACCAGCAAAAAGGACUUGAAUGCUCAGAUCAUUAACUUUUUAUCAAUCAAGUAUUUUAAAAUUAAGGUUAUGUAAUUUUUAAAGGAAAUGCUAUUGCAUACUUUAUUGGCUAUAGUAUAAAUGUAACUUAUAUGCACUGGGAAAUAAAAAUUCACGUGACGAACUUUACUGCGAUGAUCUGGAACCAAACCUGCACUAUCUUAGGUAUGUCUGCACUAUAAAGCCCAGCAGGCCAACAGAAUUAAAUCACCUGCCUGUAGCAAUUUCCCUAGAAGUGGCCAUGAAAAAUAACAGCAAUUUGGAAGAAACAAUAUUGAGAACAUGCAUAUCAGACACCAUUAGGCCAAGUGUGAAGAAUAAUCUAAUACAAUGUCGUCCCCAAGUGGCGAUGAUCACUGCAAUACCUAGUUACUCACUC